rnacentral:lncRNA from 1 species
GGAAAUAGUUCGUUAACCCAUUAUGGUUUGACUAUAGUUUUUUUAUUUCUUACCAACAAGUCGUGAUGGUGGGUCUCCUAAACGAUCUAUACAACGGCCCAACUACCAUAUAUUGGACUUUAGUUUGACCCAAUAAUAAACCCACAUAUUUUAAUAUAUAGGCCAGUUGUUCCUACGUUGGAACAUGAACUUCCUUUGUUUUGUUUUAUAAAAAUCAAUCUCUUUCUAUUCGUUUUUGAAAUUUAUAGGUAGGUAUAUCUUACUUGUAUUUUCGGUAGUAAUCACUUUUUAUACCUACAUAUAAAUUUC